rnacentral:rRNA from 1 species
CCUACGGGAGGCAGCAGUAGGGAAUCUUCCACAAUGGGCGAAAGCCUGAUGGAGCAACGCCGCGUGGGUGAAGAAGUUCUUCGGAUCGUACAACCCUAUUUUUAGAGAAGUAAGUGCGUGAGAGUAACUUUUCUCGUUUCUACGUUAUCUAACCAGAAAGCCACGGCUAACUACGUGCCAGCAUCCCCGUUAAUACGUAGGUGACAAGCGUUAUCCGGUUUUAUUGGGCGUAAAGGGAACGCAGGCGGUCUUUUAAGUAUGAUGUGAAAGCCUUCGGCUUAAACGGAGUAGUGCAUUGGAAACUGGGAGACUUGAGUGCAGAAGAGGAGAGUGGAACUCGAUGUGUAGCGGUGAAAUGCGUAGAUAUAUGGAAGAACACCGAUGGCGAAAGCGGCUCUCUGGUCUGUCACUGACGCUGAGGUUCGAAAGCGUGGGUAGCAAACAGGAUUAGAUACCCGAGUAGUC